rnacentral:ncRNA from 1 species
GACCGAUAAGGGUAAACCGCUCGGCCUUAAGGGUUCGCCUUUUAAGGUCGAUCCAAUUCUUGGACUGAAAGGGCGGGGCACAAAGUCACAGGCCUAAACCCAUGUCAUUCCAGGUGACAGGGCAGGGCAGCUGGAUUGCCGAA